CCACACACAACCGCCGCCAUGGUUGGAGAAAGAAAAGCUCAGAUGUGCUGUUGUCUUGUGAUGUCUUCAUAGAUCUUCUUCCUCCCAUUUCUUCCUUCCAACCUCCUCCUCCUCUGAUCGCCCAAAUUUCUACAGACACCAGAAGAAAUGGUUGAAACUUCAGAUCCUGCCCAAAACACAUAUCUAUCAAAAGGAAAAGCAAAAGGAAGAGAGAAGAAACUUGCAGAACAAGGUGCUUCUAGUCAUUCUAAGGCAAGUAAAAUUGCAGCAAAUGUUCAAGAGCAAGAACUAUAUAAGAAUGCAGAUAGAUGAGAAGACAACAAGGUGCUGAAAAAUUCAGAUCAAGGGAAUGAACAUGUGUAGUCGGGAAGAAAUUCAGAUCAAGGGAAUGAACAUGCAACAUAUGAGG